rnacentral:rRNA from 1 species
GACGACGGCUGGCGGCGUGGAUUAGGCAUGCAAGUCGAACGGUAGGAUACCUUCGGGUAUCUGAGAGUGGCGAACGGGUGAGUAACACGUAGGUGAAUCUACCCUCAAGAUUGGGACAACCCAGGGAAACUUGGGCUAAUACCGGAUGAAAGCAGCAGUGAUGUUGUUUGAAAGGUGGCGUAAGCUGCCGUUUGGGGAUGAGCCUGCGCUCUAUUAGUUAGUUGGCGGGGUAAAGGCCCACCAAGGCGAUGAUAGAUAGGCGGCCUUAACGGGUGGUCGCCCACACUGGGAUUGAGAUACGGCCCAGACUCCUACGGGAGGCAGCAGUCGAGAAUAGUCUACAAUGGCCGAAAGGCUGAUAGUGCGACGCCGCGUGAACGAAGAAGCCCUUCGGGGUGUAAAGUUCUUUUAUAUGUGAGCAGUGCUUUCUAUGUGAACAGCAUGGGGAGAGAGAUAUUAGCAUAUGAAUAAGCAACGGCUAACUCCGUG